UUGAUCUUCCAGCGAUGAUCGACUACAUUGUGAAAACCACCGGCCGUGAAAAAAUAUUCCACAUAGGGCAUAGCCAAGGUACCACCUCUUUCUUCAUCAUGGCAAUGGAACGGCCUAAAUAUCAAGAGCUCAUCGUGGAGAUGUACGUUAUGGCUCCAGACGUUUACUAAGGCAGAACAGAGAGUCCCCUUUUACAACUGCUCAUCACAGUUCAUCUAAAGCAUAGAGAUUAUUUUGCAGAAAUUUGAAUUCAAUCUUGAUGAAUUCAAAAAGAAAAAUGCACAAUUAGUAUGCGUGAAUAAAGCUACUCAAACAAUGUGCUUGGAUGCGAUGUUCUCGAUAGGUGGAUUCAAUUCUGAGCAACUCAAUUCGGAGCAACGAAAGAGCACUCCACGAUGUGCUUUUGAUAUUUAGGCCGUUCCGUUGCCAUGAUGAAGAAAGAGGUGGUACCUUGGCUAUGCCCUAUGUAGAAUAUUUUUUCACGGCCGGUGGUUUUCACAAUGUAGUCGAUCAUUGCUGGAAGAUCAAGUGUACCGAUCUGGUGCCAACUAUAGUAUGCAACCAGAAUAUACAUAAAUUAUGUUUAAUUAAAAAGAAGGCAAAGCAUUAAAACUCGGAAAAUAUUAUUUUUAUAUACAUACAGUUUUUAUAACUAUAAUAUACAUAUAUACUAUAUAUAAGCCUUUAAUGCAUAUUUAUUCAUAAGCACAUAAAAAAUUAACCAACCAUGGCUAAUUAUUUUCCCUUACAUUCAACUGUAAUUGGUCAAUUUCUUGCGGCUUAAGGUUUACUACAACUAUUGUAUAUAAACGGAAACUUACAGUAUUCUCAACUAUUAUUGUAUAUUAAUAAAACAAUUGUACAAAAGAUAUUAUUUCGCAAAAUCAACUUUAGGCAUUAACUAGAAAUUAGUAAUUUUAAUUAAACAUUUAUUUUUGAUAUUAUUGUCUUAACAAUUAUUAUUUACUUAUUUAUAUUUAUAUUACUCCCAUUAGGCUUUGUUACCGGUAAUCUUCGGACAUUUUACAAGUAGUCAAACUUCUUACUAUGUAUACAUAUAAUACAUAUUCUGUUUGUAAAAAUUUUUAUAUUUUUGUGUUCUUGUAUGCAAUAAAUAUUUGUUUU